UGUCCAUGGUUCACUGUGACUCACAGUGGGAGGGCGCUGUCCAACAGUGUAGGGAAGGCAUGGCCACACACCAGGAGGCAACCAGGCACUUCGUGUCCACAGUCAGGAAGCAGAGAUGGAUGCAGAAUUGGGAAACUGAGCCCAUACACAGGGCAGGAAACAUUGAAAGGUUCCAGGACCCAGUGGCCUUGCAAGUGAUGGAGAAGGCCUGGGCCUGGGAGUGGCCUGGGAAAGCCCUGCCUCCUGCACCUCCGGUCACCCUCAAACAUCAUCCACCAGCCCUUCUUAAUCAUGAUGUCCCUAACCACAGAGGCCUCCUCAUCCUUGCCACCCCAGGUAGCAGUCCUGAUUCUGAGAUGCCAUCCUGAACCCCGUGGAUGCCCAGAAACCAAUUAAAGCCUCCAUUAGAGCCAAAGAAAGAGCUGCGGCUGGAGGAGAUGAAGAGGGACGCACUUCUAAUUAGACACGCGGCCACCCACCCCUGUCCUUUCUAGAUAAAUGCAAAGGAUCGAGAGGAAAAGUAAUUAAAACUCGCAUGUGGCUCUAUCACCAUGAGCUCUGCCCCCUCCCAGCUCCUAGGUCCAAUUGAUUCUCACCAGCCUUUGAGGAGAGGCAACUUGGAGGAAGGUCAGCAGACCUGAAGGUCAGCCCACCCCACCCCUGUUCCAAUGGACUGGGAGCUCCUUAGGGCUACGGAUCAGGUCAGUUGGCCUUGCCUCUCUCCUCAGAUGGGAAAUAAAAGCAACUGGGAGCCUGUGCCCUGUGCUAGGCAGCCUGCCUGGGCCAACAUGGAACGAGUAGCUAAGGCUAGCUCAGCCUCUGUCUCUGGACCCUGCUUUACAGAUCUAUCUUUUUUUUUUUUUUUGGUUCUUUUUUUUCGGAGCUGGGGACCGAACCCAGGGCCUUGUGCUUCCUAGGUAAGCGCUCUACCACUGAGCUAAAUCCCCAGCCCCCAGAUUUAUCUUUUAUCCUUUUCAGUAUGUAUUUUAUCCUUUUCAUGCCUUUCCCAGGUACUGAAAGUUAGUUGGGAAUUAGCACAUCACAUCACCUCGCCGGGGAAAGGCCCUGCAGUGGGCAAAAUGCAGCAUCGGGAAUAAAGAGAUGAGUUUAUGCAGAGUUCAGGUACGGACCACCAGGCAGGUCUCCAGGACACCUAGGCCGGCCUUAUACUCUCUCUAUAACCAAGGAUGACCUUGGACUUCUUUUUAAAAUAUCUACUGAUUUACUUUAGGUGCCCCUGCAUGAGUUUUGUAUAUGCCAUAUGGAUACUUAAGUCUACAAAGGCCAGAAAAGGCAUCGGAGCCCUGGGGUUGGAGUUACAGAGGGCUCUGAGCCACCAUGUGGGUGCUGAGAGCUCGCUCAGGUCCUCUGGAAGAGCAGUCCAUGUUUUUAACCAGACUUCGAACUUUUGAUUCUCUUACCUCUGUCUCUUGAGUGCUGGCAUUGUGAGUAUGCACUACCACUCCUGGCUUGUGCUGGGGACUGAACCCAAGGCUUGGUGCACGCCAGGGAAGCCACAUCCUCAGCCCUGAAAGAUCACCUUUAAAAACAAUGUCAGUGAAGGAAUGGGUGGGCUGUGUGGUGACACAUACAACUGGACUGAUGUGUGUGUGUGACUGUCAGUCAGCUUCUUGGGCUUGUCCACAUCAGUCUCACGGGGCCACUGCCCAACCCACAUGCACACAGGUGUCCUCAUUGACAAAUGUCACAACAGUAUCUGCAAUUUUUGUUUUUUGAGAGAGGAUCUCUGGCUAUCCUGGAACUCCCUAUGUAGAUCAGGCUGGCCUCUAACUCACAGAGAUCUACCUCCUUCUGCCUUCCAAGUGCUGGGAUUAAAGACAUACACCGUCAUUUCUUAAAUCAUCGAACAUAUUUCACAUUGUCCAGCAGCCCUACUCCAGAUACCAUCCAAGAGCAGAAAAUGCACAUGUUCACACUAAAAUUCACUUCUGAUCAGAGAAGCAUUGAUCACGAUGGCCUUCAAGUUAAAAAUCUGCGAAAACAUACAUUUCACUUUUGGGUGUGUGAACACAACAUAGGGCCUUCUAUUCAACUGUAAGAAGUAUAUACCAGAAUGAAUGAAUGAAUGAAUGAAUGAAUGAAUGAAUGAAUGAAUAAGUGAGUUUAUAUGUGCAUGAAGGAAUGAAUAAGGCAAAUAUUUUUUCUAAUGCCUGCUACCUGAUUGGUAAGGAGCCAUCCCUUCAUCUCUCUCUGCUGCCUCUGGCCUUCACUUCAGCUCAUAUUUCCUGGGGUCCUGGGGUCUUGGGCUUAGGACUUGAGUGGAUGUUGUGUGUGUAGAGGAGGCUUCUGUGCUGUCUGAACAUCGUCCCAAGCUCAUACUUUGCUCGUUACAUCUUUAGCAUCACACAGCUAAUUGGCAUCCGUUGUUGUUUCAGAGGGAGGAUGAGCAAAGACUCAGGUGAAGUGGUUACCUACCUGCCCAGCCAGGAGCUGACGUGGCCUGGCCUGUGUGUAGGGAAGAGGAGGCUGUGAACGCAGAAAGGCUUAAGUGCAAAGCUGUGUGGCCUCCAGCAGGUUGCUUAACCUGUGAACUGGGGGUAAAGGUGACCUUGGAAGUCAUAGGUCCUGGGGACAAGAGCGCUGUCCUGGCAGGUGACUUUUCCUUUGAGCUGAUGGCAGCUGCUCUCCCUGUCAUCUUCUCCCUGCAAUGCCAUGGCCUCAGAGAUGGAACCUUACUGCAGCUCCAUUCUUCUUCUGCAGCUCCAUCAGCCUCAUGAAAGCAGCAGGGCCCAGGCAGUGCUGGCCUGCUUCCUUCCAGCCCUGCAGGUCCAUGGCUGCCCUUGCUGCUUUCUUACCUUCCCCACUGAUAUAGCUCCAUCUCUUGGGGCGGAUACUGCAGUCAGGGCCACCCAUCUGAGGUGGAGACCUGUGACACCAGCCCCUCACCCAGGGCGAACUGCAGAAAGCAGAGGGAAACCUUGGCAGGUAGUCCAGGGUGGUGAGAGCUGCCAGUUGGGCUGACGUGCAGGGAGACCCCAGGGGCCAAAGCAGAUGGCUUCUUUCAGAGUCUAAUUAUCCACCAGCCCAGAGCCAGAAGGCUCUGAGUACAGCAGCGACCAUGUUUCUCUUUUCCUGGGUGUAGCUGGGCAGAGGCUGUCACUGGCACAGGGUGCUCCAGCCUCACUAUUGUUUCCCGCUCUCUUCCUUCAAUUUCCCAGGUGCUUGGGAGCCCUGGCUGUGAUUGACUCACCCCAGGUGUCCGGUGCCCUACACAUAAUGUGGUACACAGUUGGUGCUCAAUAAUUGGUUGCUAAAAUGAAUGAAUGAUGGAUGAGUUUGCCAUGGUUUGGCUUUGCUCUCAAGAUGGUGCCAGGCCCUCUUUUGGUAAGCUCGAGAUGGAUAGUUUAUCUCAGAGCCCGUCCCCCUUGGCUUCCCACAACCAUCUCUCUAUCCUUAUUUGGCAGCCCGUGAUCUCCUUUGUCGCUGGCUACCUGAGAGAAUGAUCAAUACAUUUAAUUUAUACCAGACUAAAGAUGAUAGAUAGACAGCACUGUCUUCCUUCACAUGUAUGUUGUGGAUAAACCCUAAUCCAACAGGAUGAGGUUUAGUGGCCAAAGCCAGGUCCCUUCACGGGCCUCAUCUCUGGAGAGUCUAUUUUCACUCUUACUGGUCCUGAGGCUUUCCAGGUUUCACCACCACAUAACUCAGUGGCUCCUUAGAACUGCAGAGGUAACGCCAGUACCCCACACAGCAAGGUUCUCCAGUCUCUGCCUGAAAUGACGGGACUCCCUACCUCACGCAUAGCCAUCUGUUGCUGGACUGAGACUUACUGCCAAGUAGCUGGUUUGCCCGUGCCUGCUGUCUGGGGCCAGGAUCACAGAGAAGCACUCCCUCUAAAUAAAGAUCUCUGCACAUGCGUGCAUCUGUCUGUCCUCCUCCAACCCCCUAGACAAGACGGACACCAGGUCAGCCCAGACACCCAGAGAGGUCCCCCAGGACUGGGUAAGUCAUUGGCUUGAAAAUACCACCAAUGUCAAGUGAGUGGUCAUUCCUGGCCAGGUUCUGGCAGCAGAAGCUUUCUGGGACUGAUUUAUACAGUCUUCACCUGGGGCCAUAGUCGAACCCUGCCACCAGCUCACUUAUGAGGAAUCCAGCCAGAGGGAUCUUCAGUGACAUUUGCAAGGUGACACAGUCCAAAGCAGUGGAGGCAGGAUCCGAACCCAGAUCUGCCAGAUGCCUCAUAUUGCCACCCCACAAGAUCAUAUUUGUGUGUGUGUGUGUGUGUGUGUGUGUGUGUGUGUGUGUGUGUGUGAAUGAGAGAGAGAGGGGGAGAGAGAGAGAGGGAGAGAGAGAGAGAGAAAAAGAGAGAGAGAGAGAGAGAGAAUGUCUGUGUCAGUCUUGGCUUUAAAAUUAUUCUUCCUCCUCUCCCUCUUCUUCUCUUCCUUUUUCUGAAAUAAAUUCUCACAUAGCCCAGGCUAGCCUCAACAUUAAUAUGUUGCUGAGGAUAACCUUGAACUCCUGAUUUUCCAGGUGCUGCUGUCACUGGCGUGAGCCACCACAGCGCCUCAUCCUUUCUCAUCUUGACAGCUGCAGGUGACAGCUUUGCUAAGGUGUGGUUCUUGGUGUCUUGAUGGCCCCUCCCAGUGUGAGCUUGUCAAGGGGCUGUGGCCUCUCACCAGUAGCUCUUUCACCUCACCUGUAAUUAAAAUUCCACUGUGCUGUUCUCAUUUUUAAAAUAGUUCCAUUGGUCCACAUAUGCUGAAGGUGUAAACAGUGACAAACGUGGACUUUCACUCAGGGGGUCAUCCCCACCUGUAGGGAGCGAUGGAAGGAGGAGACACCUGCUAACACCGGUUAAUACCUGAUGUGCUCCCCCUUUACAGCUACGCCACAGCUCUUCACCCCUUAUACAGAGGCUAUUGGAAAGAGAUGGUGGUGGUGCUGCUGCUGCUGCUGCUGGCAGUGGUGGUAUUGGUGGCAGCAGCGGUGGUGGAACAUUCGGGAAAGUCUCCUAUCCCAUGAGCCUUUGCACCAUCCACCAGGAAAUCUUAGUAGCUUGACCUCCCGAGUUUCUCCUGCAGGAGUCAAGCUGCUCCGGCUGGCUCCCAACUCUCUAUGUGGCCAAAGAUGCCCUUGAGCUUUGGAUGCUUUUACCUGAAGCUCUUGAGUGCUGGGACUGCAGGUCUGCCCCAUCAUGCUUUCCUUAGGCAGUGCUGGGGGUGGGAUCUGGGGCUUCCUGCAUGCGCAGGAAGAACUCUGCUAACUGAGCCACACUCAGGCAGAAGUUGUUUUUUUUUUCUUUGAACACACAGACACACACAGACACACACAGACACACACACACGGACACGGACACACAGAGACACACAUGGACACACAUGUGCACAUGUACAAACACUCUUCACAGGUCUAUGUCUCUGAAGAGUCUAGCAGCAGCAGUAGAUGAGUAUCUAUGUACGGAUUUUAUGUGAGACAAAAGAGUGUGCAUGAGCCUCCACUUACAACGCUCACAAAUUCUCUGACUCCCAGCUGACCGUCCCACCAUUGCCAUCCUGUGUCCGAGGCUGACGGGGGCUGUGCGCUUUGCUGCUAUUCGGCACGCAGAGAGACUUCUGUCUAGAUGUCACUGAGGCAGAUAAGGACCCCAGCAAAGCUCCUGGGUAUGUUUUCUGCUGACUGCUGUCUGUGGUUCACUUCACACAUACUUUAAAAAAAAGGUAAGUUGAAGCAUCCUGUGUUGGUGAAGCAUCCUAUGUUGGGAAACUCUACUUCAGAAGAACUGUGGUCCAGGGCCAGAGUUGGGAGGAGGAGAAGGCAAACGGGCUCUAGUGCCUUAGGAGGCAUGACAGGAUGUGGUGUGCAUAUGUUUAUGAUUCUAACAUCUAUUAAGUUUAUUCCAUGUCACUCUUAGAAAUGAUGCAAUGGGUGCUGAGACUGGGCACAGCUAAAAGUGUGAAAGAACAAAGACAAGGAUCAACUGUGGCCCAGGAACAAGGAGCUUGGAAGCUCAGUGGUCACCAGUAGUUCACCUGAGUCGGUGGUUUUCCAGUCACUGCCUCACGCUGGUGGAGAUGAAAGGUUUGGAACUGUGUGGGAGUAUGAAGGCGAGCACAGGCCUCAUUCAGAGAGGUUAUGAAAAGGUGGGACGUUAAGGAAAGGGGAGACACUUGUGAGUGGGAUGGGCGGGAUGGCUUCCCAGGAUGGCUUCUCAAGAGAAGAAAAUCAACAGGCAGCUUGGGGUUUUGAUAUGAAGACUGAGGUAAUUUCUACUGAGAUUGGUUGGUUCUCUGAGCACAUUGCAAGCCCAGCCAAUGAAAAGCUCCCAGAUCUAUAAAUGUCCCUGCAGCCUAACUGGAGAGACGACCCUGUGCUGUUGACACAUGGCUCACCAGGCUAAGGGUGGUUGAGACCUGCCUUUCCACCUCUGACUUACACUUCGUUACUUGUUCAUUUUCACCAUCUGCUCCGUUAACCUGCUAAUCGACAACCUUGCCGGUGUCUCUUCCGGCUGUUAAUUAGGCUCGGAGCUCUGCGCUCUCGAGAUGACAUCAUCAGCUUGCAGUUUCACAUUGACUGGGCACUAGUUCCGGCACAGCCAACAGAAUGUAGCUAUUUGCUUUGGUUACUCCCUUCUAUUGCCUUGUCUAUGGAGCUGUCUGGGGCCGUCUCUUCUGUCUUAGGUGGAAUCUUCUUGCUAGAAGCUAUCCUUACCCAUAAUGAAGUCUGUUUCAUUCACUACAUUAGAAGCAGAGGGGCAUGAUGGAGCAGCAGUCUCUGGCUUGUGCUCCCAGGGCAUCAUGGGAGCCAGUCUGGUGGCACAGAACUUGAUUCACAGAGUCUCUGCCUUUCUUCUUAUCUCAGCAACUUGGCAACCUCAAAGUUACAAGCCCUCUUAUUUCCUCUUCCUUGGUGUUCCUGAUUAUAACCACUGUAAUCCCAACCUUUCUUUUAAUUCAAGCAACUGUGAGUAAUGUGCAGUUUUCACCAUCUCCUCCCCACCUACCUCAUAUCAGAGAGAAGUGAAAAUGUAUGCCCACACUAACAGGAAUACAUAGUAUUGCGUAUGAUAGUGGAAACAUGGAUACAACUCAAAGAAUGAAUAGCUAAA